AUGAGCGAUGAUGAAGGUAGCGCCGUCGAAAAUUUCAUUGGAUUAUCAGUUCCAGAACAGAAACGCAAGGCCGGUCGACCAACAAACAGCAGAGACAAGCCUCCAUAUGAUGACCGGUCUGCAAAGAGCAAACAAAUUAAGGUCACAUCACAAGUUGAUACAGGUAUUGGAUGCAGUACAAGCAAACGAACACGGUUCUGCACUAUAUGUCAUGGCCCUGGUCACAAGAGCACAACGUGUCCGCUAAGAGGGGACACUCCUCAAAAGAAAAGGAAAGAAUCAAAAUGCUCAAUCUGCGGAGUGGGAGGGCAUCGAAAGAACACCUGCACAUGGAAAGCAACCUACUCAUGA
rnacentral:rRNA from 1 species